rnacentral:rRNA from 1 species
GUUUGAUCCUGGCUCAGGAUGAACGCUGGCGGCGUGCUUAACACAUGCAAGUCGAACGAACCUUCGGGUUAGUGGCGGACGGGUGAGUAACGCGUGAGAAUCUGCCCUCAGGAGGGGGAUAACGGUUGGAAACGACCGCUAAUACCCCAUAUGCCUACUGGUGAAAUGAAUUUCGCCUGAGGAUGAGCUCGCGUCUGAUUAGCUAGUUGGUGAGGUAAUGGCUCACCAAGGCUUCGAUCAGUAGCUGGUCUGAGAGGAUGAUCAGCCACACUGGGACUGAGACACGGCCCAGACUCCUACGGGAGGCAGCAGUGGGGAAUUUUCCGCAAUGGGCGAAAGCCUGACGGAGCAACGCCGCGUGAGGGACGAAGGCCUCUGGGCUGUAAACCUCUUUUCUCAAGGAAGAAGAUAUGACGGUACUUGAGGAAUAAGCCACGGCUAAUUCCGUGCCAGCAGCCGCGGUAAUACGGGAGUGGCAAGCGUUAUCCGGAAUUAUUGGGCGUAAAGCGUCCGCAGGCGGCUUUUCAAGUCUGCUGUUAAAGCGUGGAGCUUAACUCCAUCAUGGCAGUGGAAACUGAAAGGCUUGAGUAUGGUAGGGGCAGAGGGAAUUCCCGGUGUAGCGGUGAAAUGCGUAGAUAUCGGGAAGAACACCAGUGGCGAAGGCGCUCUGCUGGGCCAUUACUGACGCUCAUGGACGAAAGCCAGGGGAGCGAAAGGGAUUAGAUACCCCUGUAGUCCUGGCCGUAAACGAUGAACACUAGGUGUCGGGGGAAUCGACCCCUUCGGUGUCGUAGCUAACGCGUUAAGUGUUCCGCCUGGGGAGUACGCACGCAAGUGUGAAACUCAAAGGAAUUGACGGGGGCCCGCACAAGCGGUGGAGUAUGUGGUUUAAUUCGAUGCAACGCGAAGAACCUUACCAGGGCUUAAAUGUAAGUUGCAUAGACCAGAGAUGGUCUUUUCUUCGGACUACUUACAAGGUGCUGCAUGGUUGUCGUCAGCUCGUGUCGUGAGAUGUUGGGUUAAGUCCCGCAACGAGCGCAACCCACGUUUUUAGUUGCCAGCAUUUAGUUGGGCACUCUAGAAAGACCGCCGGUGAUAAACCGGAGGAAGGUGUGGAUGACGUCAAGUCAUCAUGCCCCUUACACCCUGGGCUACACACGUACUACAAUGCUACGGACAAAGGGCAGCAAACUCGCGAGAGCUAGCAAAUCCCAUAAACCGUGGCUCAGUUCAGAUCGUAGGCUGCAACUCGCCUACGUGAAGUAGGAAUCGCUAGUAAUCGCAGGUCAGCAUACUGCGGUGAAUACGUUCCCGGGCCUUGUACACACCGCCCGUCACACCAUGGAAGUUGGCCAUGCCCGAAGUCGUUACUCCAACCCUUGUGGAGGAGGACGCCGAAGGUGGGGCUAAUGACUGGGGUGAAGUCGUAACAAGGUAGCCGUA